UUUUCAGUCAGGGUCCUGGCUAAUAUCCAGCUCUUAGCUGGUAUUAGUCAAACCCUGACUGUAAA
rfam:Cricetulus griseus cell line CHO-K1, whole genome shotgun sequence.